rnacentral:rRNA from 1 species
AUUGAACGCUGGCGGCAGGCCUAACACAUGCAAGUCGAGCGGUAACAGAAAGGAAGCUUGCUUUCUUUGCUGACGAGCGGCGGACGGGUGAGUAAUGCCUGGGAAUAUGCCUUAGUGUGGGGGAUAACUAUUGGAAACGAUAGCUAAUACCGCAUAACGUCUUCGGACCAAAGAGGGGKACCUUCGGGCCUCUCGCGCUAAGAUUAGCCCAGGUGGGAUUAGCUAGUUGGUGAGGUAAAGGCUCACCAAGGCAACGAUCCCUAGCUGGUCUGAGAGGAUGAUCAGCCACACUGGAACUGAGACACGGUCCAGACUCCUACGGGAGGCAGCAGUGGGGAAUAUUGCACAAUGGGGGAAACCCUGAUGCAGCCAUGCCGCGUGUAUGAAGAAGGCCUUCGGGUUGUAAAGUACUUUCAGUCGUGAGGAAGGGUGUGUAGUUAAUAGCUGCAUGCCUUGACGUUAGCGACAGAAGAAGCACCGGCUAACUCCGUGCCAGCAGCCGCGGUAAUACGGAGGGUGCGAGCGUUAAUCGGAAUUACUGGGCGUAAAGCGCAUGCAGGCGGUCUGUUAAGCAAGAUGUGAAAGCCCGGGGCUCAACCUCGGAACCGCAUUUUGAACUGGCAGACUAGAGUCUU